AUAGCCGUUCCGGCUGACGGUGCCUUCACAAGAAGCCCCGGCUAACUACGUGCCAGCAGCCGCGGUAAUACGUAGGGGGCAAGCGUUGUCCGGAAUCAUUGGGCGUAAAGAGCGUGUAGGCGGCCCGGUAAGUCCGCUGUGAAAGUCGGGGGCUCAACCCUCGAAUGCCGGCGGAUACUGUCGGGCUAGAGUCCGGAAGAGGCGAGUGGAAUUCCUGGUGUAGCGGUGAAAUGCGCAGACAUCAGGAGGAACACCUAUGGCGAAGGCAGCUCGCUGGGACGGUACUGACGCUGAGACGCGAAAGCGUGGGGAGCAAACAGGAUUAGAUACCCUGGUAGUCCACGCCGUAAACGAUGGGCACUAGGUGUGGGAGGUGUCGACUCCUUCCGUGCCGAAGCUAACGCAUUAAGUGCCCCGCCUGGGGAGUACGGCCGCAAGGCUAAAACUCAAAGGAAUUGACGG
rnacentral:rRNA from 1 species